GGGGAAGUGGGGACGGUAAGGGCGGUGGGGACGCGCGCUCCUCUCUUUUCCCAGCGGCUCUGGAGGUGCGGAAAGGUGAUUCUUUGCGGGGUAAAUGAGAGGUUUUCUUUUUCGGUAGACGCUGAACAUUAGAAACCCAGAGCUUCCCAAAGUGACAAAGGCAGCAUGUGAGAGGUGGAAGGGAUCGUGGAGAUCAUCUGUCCAACCCCCUAAUGUGACCAUCAGGAAGACGAGGUCUGGUCCCUGAGUGCCAGUGGCUGGUGAAGAUUUAGGACCACCUCCUUGAAGCUUUGUCGUUCUUCCCAGUAAAAGAAUGAGCUCUGGGGCUUCCCUGGUGGCGCAGUGGUUGAGAGUCCGCCUGCCGAUGCAGGGGACGUGGGUUCGUGCCCUGGUCCGGGAAGAUCCUACGUGCCGCGAAGCGGCUGGGCCCGUGAGCCAUGGCCGCUGAGCCUGCGCGUCCGGAGCCUGUGCUCCGCAACGGGAGGGGCCCCAGCAGGGAGAGGCCCGCGUACCGCAAAAAAAAAAAAAAAAAAAGAA